rnacentral:rRNA from 1 species
UGGGGAAUAUUGCACAAUGGGCGCAAGCCUGAUGCAGCCAUGCCGCGUGUAUGAAGAAGGCCUUCGGGUUGUAAAGUACUUUCAGCGGGGAGGACGGUGUUGAGGCUAAUAACCUCAGCAAUUGACGUUACCCGCAGAAGAAGCACCGGCUAACUCCGUGCCAGCAGCCGCGGUAAUACGGAGGGUGCAAGCGUUAAUCGGAAUUACUGGGCGUAAAGCGCACGCAGGCGGUCUGUCAAGUCGGAUGUGAAAUCCCCGGGCUCAACCUGGGAACUGCAUUCGAAACUGGCAGGCUAGAGUCUUGUAGAGGGGGGUAGAAUUCCAGGUGUAGCGGUGAAAUGCGUAGAGAUCUGGAGGAAUACCGGUGGCGAAGGCGGCCCCCUGGACAAAGACUGACGCUCAGGUGCGAAAGCGUGGGGAGCAAACA